CCUACGGGAGGCAGCAGUGGGGAAUAUUGGACAAUGGGGGGAACCCUGAUCCAGCGACGCCGCGUGAGUGAAGAAGUAUUUCGGUAUGUAAAGCUCUAUCAGCAGGGAAGAAAGAAAUGACGGUACCUGACUAAGAAGCCCCGGCUAACUACGUGCCAGCAGCCGCGGUAAUACGUAGGGGGCAAGCGUUAUCCGGAUUUACUGGGUGUAAAGGGAGCGUAGACGGCAAGGCAAGCCAUAAGUGAAAGGGCAGGGCUAAAACCUGUACAUGCUUUUGGUACUGUGGUGCUAGAGUGCAGGAGAGGCAAGUGGAAUUCCUAGUGUAGCGGUGAAAUGCGUAGAUAUUAAGAGGAACACCAGUUGCGAAGGCGGCUUACUGGACUGUAACUGACGUUGAGGCUCGAAAGCGUGGGGAGCAAACAGGAUUAGAUACCCGGGUAGUC
rnacentral:rRNA from 1 species